rnacentral:lncRNA from 1 species
AGCAUUCAAAACAGCAUCGGCCAUAACAACAGAAAUGGCCAGUCAGUCCCAAGGUAUCCAGCAGCUUCUGCAAGCUGAGAAGCGGGCAGCUGAGAAGGUGGCAGAUGCCAGAAAGAGGAAGGCCCGGCGACUGAAGCAGGCAAAGGAGGAGGCACAGAUGGAGGUGGAGCAAUACCGCAGAGAGCGAGAGCACGAAUUCCAGAGCAAGCAGCAGGCGGUGAGUUGAGGCAGAGUCGGGUUGAGACCCCACUGCAAGUUGGUGGGUGCAUCUAGUGAGGUGUGUAAGGGUGACUCAACAAGAAAAUAUGGUGGCAGAGGGCUGAGGCUGAGGGGACCCUGGCAGGGACCACAACAUUGGUGAAACUUUGUGAUGAUAUGUAGGAGAGUCUGGGAGUUUUGAAGGCCACAUAGAGCUUGUGGGCGGAAUGCCACAGUCUGUGUAAAGUAUAACAUCUAUGUGGAGUAUGAUUAACAUUUGUGGUGGAGGGUAGAGUUUUAUGGUCAUGGAUGGUGAGGUGGUGGGGAUAUUACGGUCUGUUUUAGGAUGAAGUUGCAUGUUAGGUCUAAGGG